UCUCCUGGAAAACGGGUGGUAAUGCCGGAUGCUCCAGCAGACCGCAUGUUCUUUCGGGAAAGAUUCAUCGGUAUGGGAUGGGGUCGCGUCCUAUCAGCUUGAUGGCGGGGUAACGGCCCACCAUGGCUUCGACGGGUAGCCGGCCUGAGAGGGCGACCGGCCACAUUGGGACUGAGAUACGGCCCAGACUCCUACGGGAGGCAGCAGUGGGGAAUAUUGCACAAUGGGCGCAAGCCUGAUGCAGCGACGCCGCGUGCGGGAUGACGGCCUUCGGGUUGUAAACCGCUUUUGACUGGGAGCAAGCCCUUCGGGGUGAGUGUACCUUUCGAAUAAGCACCGGCUAACUACGUGCCAGCAGCCGCGGUAAUACGUAGGGUGCAAGCGUUAUCCGGAAUUAUUGGGCGUAAAGGGCUCGUAGGCGGUUCGUCGCGUCCGGUGUGAAAGUCCAUCGCUUAACGGUGGAUCCGCGCCGGGUACGGGCGGGCUUGAGUGCGGUAGGGGAGACUGGAAUUCCCGGUGUAACGGUGGAAUGUGUAGAUAUCGGAAAGAACACCA
rnacentral:rRNA from 1 species